UCGAUGAAGAACGCAGCGAAAUGCGAUAAGUAAUGUGAAUUGCAGAAUUCAGUGAAUCAUCGAAUCUUUGAACGCACCUUGCGCUCCUUGGUAUUCUGAGGAGCAUGCCUGUUUGAGUGUCAUGAAAUUCUCAACUGCUUUAGCUUUUGUGGUUGAAGUAAAGUUGGAUUUGGAGGAAUAAUUGCUGGCGUAACCUUUUAAGGUUGCUUGUUAGCUCCUCUUAAAUGGAUGAACUUUCCAGUAGUGUAAAAGUAACACCAAUGUGAUAAUUAUCUACGUUGGAUGAACUUGUACAAGGAAAGAUGAAUCUGUCUUGGGACCCCCUUGACAAAACAAAUGACAAAUUUGACCUCAAAUCAGGUAGGAUUACCCGCUGAACUUAA
rnacentral:rRNA from 1 species